UUUUUUUUUAGAAUAGUUUUCCUCUCGCACUCGAAACAAAGACUCUAUUUAAGAAGACUUCCCCAAUUACUCUCUCCCUGGCCAUGAAAUUUGGGGAUUAGGGUUUGACAAAGUUCUCAAACCCUUUCUUGCAAUGGCUGUUUGUUCGCUACCUAUAUCGGGCUCACAUUUCUCUCACCAUAGACCACUUAUAACCGUUGGCUUUCUCUCGACGACCGGCCUUCGAUGAUAGAAGAUGAAGAGUUGAAGAUUACAGCUAAGGAAGACUCAGUACUCAUCGAAAAGGGGAGUAUUUUUUCUUUUCAAUUAGCAUUUGCUGGAUCUAUCAUUGUUUCAGUGGCAUUGUGAUUUUUAUUUACUUUUUUCUCUCAGGAUUUACUAUUGGACAGAUUUCAAUGUUGGGUGGUUUCUCACCCGGGCAGGAACUUACUUUCAUUGUAGCUGGAAAAGGAUGCAGACAUUGACACAAAUUUGAAUUGUGGCAUAAUACUACCCAGGAAGAUUGCUACAAUUUCAUCCAAUGACACGUGAUGGAAAUAAAUCUACGUAGGAAGGCUGUUGGAACUUCCUUGAGAACAAAACCAGUUAUGCUUGAUAGAAAUGCAACUACCCAGGAAGGCUAGGGCUACCUUUUUUAGAACAAAGCCAAAAACAGUUGAUGGAGAUGUUUGGCGAUGUUAGAUAGUGUGCU